GGCCCAGUAGCUUAGUGGCUAAAGCUUUUGGUGCAUCUCCAGAAGGUCCUAAAUUCAAACCUCAGUCUGGCCA